rnacentral:rRNA from 1 species
AUACGGAGGAUGCAAGCGUUAUCCGGAUUUAUUGGGUUUAAAGGGUGCGUAGGCGGUUUGCUAAGCGGGAGGUGAAAUGCCGGCGCUCAACGUCGGAAGUGCCUCCCGAACUGGUGGACUGGAAUGACUCUGCCGUGGGAGGAAUGUGUAGUGUAGCGGUGAAAUGCUUAGAGAUUACACAGAACACCGAUUGCGAAGGCAUCUCACGAAGGGUUGAUUGACGCUGAGGCACGAAAGCGUGGGGAGCAAACAGGAUUAGAUACCCUGGUAGUCCACGCAGUAAACGAUGAUGGCUAACCGCUGGGCUUAUCAGUUCAGUGGCCAAGCGAAAGCGAUAAGCCAUCCACCUGGGGAGUACGACCGCAAGGUUGAAACUCAAAGGAAUUGACGGGU